GCACUGGCUGUGCCACGAAAUCUCAAGUUCUCCUAAAUCUCAGCCCCAGAUGGCUGCAACGCCCUUCAGUCUCCUUAGAGGUCCUAUAUACGCUCUGCAGAAGCAGCACUGGGGCCUGGGGGCAGGCAGAAGGAGCUGCGAGCGCGAGAUGCAUACUUACUGAUUAGAAAGUGUUGAGUUGUUCACACCCAGGAUAAAUCUGCUGCGUAUCCGUCCCCCCGCACCCUGCGUAGCUACAGCUGCUCGAGCCCAGCUGUCGGCCCCCUUCCCUUUGGGUGCACGGUUCACCCCUGCGGCCAGCCCUUCUCUCAAGGCAUCAGGCUACAUCUGGUCUCCGCCAUGUAACGUUACCCCGAGGAACGUAUGGGAUACGUGCAUCUGCUGGGGCAGGCGUGAACCCCCCGGGGCCAGCCACACAAGAGGAUAUGGCUAAAACUGACCAUGGAGUAAAAUUCUUGAGUGCUGAGGAAGAGCCCGGACUCACCGAUCCUCCAGCCUGAUGAGCCUAAUGAUCAUCCUGGUCCUAAGAAAGACAGCAGCAACUUUCAAAACUGAAGAUGAUGUUUUGGCAAAGGGAGGAGGAGAGGAAAAGGAGGGAGAGAUCUGGAGCCGCCCUGCCAUCUUACUGCCUUAAUUUGGAUAUAAAAUAUCAGGCUUCUGGCUGUACAUGUUCUGUAAGUGCAGCCAGCGGUGCAGCAGAGGAGUAAAGCAGGAAUCGCUCUUCUCCGGGCAGCAAACAUCUCUGCACGUUUGCCUUUAUGUCUGUCCAGCCUCCAGGCAGCAGAAAGGAGAAGAUGCUCGAUCCCUCCCGCUCCAGGCGGUGCGUGCACACCCAGGCGUGCCAAACCAGAAACCGGGCUACGGCAAAGGAUAUGCAGAAGGCACACGACCCUGCAUAUAUCUUUGUUUUCCAGAUUUCCUCUUCAUCCUGUCUUCAUUAAAAACCAAAUGGC